AAAAUCCGUCGACUUUAAAAAUCGGGAGGGUUCAAGUCCCUCUAUCCCCAAAAAG
rnacentral:tRNA from 2 species